rnacentral:lncRNA from 1 species
CCAUCCACCUGUCUUGGCCUCCCAAAGUGCUGGGGUUACAGGCGUGAGCCAUCGCGCCUGGCAAACUUCCUCUUUUUAUAAGGAGUGGUAGGGACGUCGGCCCAUCUCCUUUGGCCUCUGGAGCGCAGCUGUCCUCCCCACCCCAAGCCCCCUCCGGUGGUGGUGGCACAUUGCCACUGACCCCAUCGGCCCGUCUCCUGGGAAAAGGUAGAAUGUGGCAGUGGGCGCUGGGGUUCCAGAGUCAGGGACAGCAGGGCUGUCUGUGCUCACGGGAGGGCCUGGUGUCAGCAGCACUUUGGGAGGCUGAGGCGGGCAGAUCACCUGAGGUCAGGAGUUGGAGACCAGCCUGGCCAAAACGGUGAAACCCGGUCUCUACUAAAAAUACAAAAAUUAGCCGGGCGUGAUGACAUGCACCUGUAAUCCCAGCUUCUCGGGGGAGCUGAGACAGGAGAAUUGCAUGAACCCGGGAGGCGGAGGUUACAGUGAGUUGAGAUCCUACUACUGCACUCUAGCCUGGGCGACAGAGCAAGACCCUGUCUCAAAAAUACAUAAAUAAAUAAAUAAAUAAAUAAAUCAGACAGGAGGUAGAUUGAUUAAUUGGAGAAAAGGCAAGACGAUCGAACAUUUACACAGGGGAACCUUCUAAAUAAAGUCCCAAAGAUAGGGGAAAUUGCUCAUUUUUAUGUGCAAGUUCCACAAAGCACGGGCAGGCAGAUGAGCCUGGAUUCUUACUGGCCUCUCUGAGCCGUGCCCCUUCCUUCUGGGUGUGGGGCAGGACCCUCUCUGGAAUGGUGGGUCUUAUGACCUACAGUCAAACAAGGUAGGUCAGGGAAUUUCUUUAU